rnacentral:rRNA from 1 species
GAUGAGCGCUGGCGGCGUGCCUAAUACAUGCAAGUCGAGCGAAUGGAUUGAGAGCUUGCUCUUAUGAAGUUAGCGGCGGACGGGUGAGUAACACGUGGGUAACCUGCCCAUAAGACUGGGAUAACUCCGGGAAACCGGGGCUAAUACCGGAUAACAUUUUGAACCGCAUGGUUCGAAAUUGAAAGGCGGCUUCGGCUGUCACUUAUGGAUGGACCCGCGUCGCAUUAGCUAGUUGGUGAGGUAACGGCUCACCAAGGCAACGAUGCGUAGCCGACCUGAGAGGGUGAUCGGCCACACUGGGACUGAGACACGGCCCAGACUCCUACGGGAGGCAGCAGUAGGGAAUCGUCCGCAAUGGACGAAAGUCUGACGGAGCAACGCCGCGUGAGUGAUGAAGGCUUUCGGGUCGUAAAACUCUGUUGUUAGGGAAGAACAAGUGCUAGUUGAAUAAGCUGGCACCUUGACGGUACCUAACCAGAAAGCCACGGCUAACUACGUGCCAGCCGCCGCGGUAA